CAAUUCCUAUAAAGGAGAGAAGAGCAAUAAGUAUGAAGUCUGAAGAACCGGGUAAUUGCGAUCUUCAUCACCAGCCAGAGCUCCCAGUUCCUUGGAGACUUAAGGAAGAAGGAGGAGAUUGAAAAUGGACCCCACUAGAACUGCCCUAGAACUAAUCAAAUGCAACUCUUUACCCUUGAAAUGUGAUGGAUCCAAAUGGAAACAUAGGUUUUCCAAAAUGUCAGUGGAAAGAGUCUGAUGACAGGAUUCCUAAUGAAGAGAAAGAAGACUGUCCAGAAGGUGUGCUGUGAGCAAAGACAAGGAACCAAGAUUGCAGAUGCACUCUAUGAUAAUGAGUAACCUGUUGGUCUAUAAUAGAAGUUACCUGAGGUCAACCACAAUCUGGAAGCAGAUGAUCCUUCUUCUGAUAUAUCAUCAAAGGGUGAAUAGUGGCCUACUGCUAUGUCAGAAUGCCUGUGACAUUCACUUCACUUCAUCAGUAGGUGUUUUAUCCUCUCACAUCCAAAGAAGAAAGAACUGAUGCUUAAGAAGUUC